UACAGAGGCCUCGAGCGUUAGGCGGAAUCACUGGGCUUAAAGCGUGUGUAGGCGGACUUCUAAGUACCUUGUGAAAUCCCACGGCUCACCCGUGGAACUGCUCGGUAUACUGGUCGUCUUGAGCCUUCUAGGGGCGAGUGGAACAAAUGGUGGAGCGGUGAAAUGCGUAGAUAUCAUUUGGAACGCCAAUGGUGAAAAACAACUCGCUGGGGAAGUGCUGACGCUGAGACACGAAAGCCAGGGGAGCGAACGGG
rnacentral:rRNA from 1 species